rnacentral:ncRNA from 3 species
UAUCAAUAAGCGGAGGAAAAGAAACU